AUGCUAACCUAAUGGGAGAUACCAUGAUAAUGAUGGUGGUUUUCCCAGGGAGAAGCUUAUCUACUGGGUAACAGUGGCUAGAAUGUGCUGACCCCUGGGAUUUCUCUGAAUGCAGGAAACACAGCUGCAUAGUUUAUGGUAGUGGGUGACUGCAUUUGUGAUCUUUCCUG